GACGUAGGGCGCGAGCGUUGUCCGGAUUUAUUGGGCGUAAAGAGCUCGUAGGCGGCUUGUCGCGUCGUCCGUGAAAACCAGGGGCUCAACCCCUGGCUUGCGGUCGAUACGGGCAGGCUAGAGUUCGGUAGGGGAAACUGGAAUUCCUGGUGUAGCGGUGAAAUGCGCAGAUAUCAGGAGGAACACCGGUGGCGAAGGCGGGUCUCUGGGCCGAUACUGACGCUGAGGAGCGAAAGCGUGGGGAGCGAACAGG
rnacentral:rRNA from 1 species